UCUCCUUUCUCUUUCUCCCACACCACACACAUUCCCACCACCGUCGCCUCCUGACCUGUCAGGCGAUUUGCUUGGCACCGCCGCUUCUCCCUCCACUGAUGACACCUCCCAAUGACUCCUAGCAUGUGGUGCUUACCCACGAUCCAAGCCCAAGGGCCGCAUAAAGAUAAGACAAGAUAAGAGGGAGGGAGAUGCACCUCGAGGAGAGCAGGUCAGGUGACAGCCAUGGCGCGCCCAUAUCCACCAGUGUCGUCGUCGUCAAGCUCCUCUUAUCCCAUUGCCUGAACCACCCCUGUCUCCAUCUCCACAACUGCACACCGGAUGUUCCUUCCAUGGAAGGUCCCCUUCGCCCCUCUAUUCCCCUGAACUGUUGGUUAGUUUUGAUUCAACCACUCUCCUCCCCGAUGUGUUAUUCUCAUGCACGCAGGUGAUGUAUGUGCUUGCUUCUUCCCUUCCCGGGACGCCAUUACUCCAACGCCAUGGAAAAAUAAAAUAUGGCGAGAACAAUAGGGUGAAGCAAGCUCAUCCAAUGAUGAACAAUAGCGGCUCUCAAAUAUUGUUAAAUGCGAGAGGAAGGUUUCAGGGGCUGAAAAGGCCAAGGGAAAACAUUCUGGAUUAAACCUAUAUUCAAAGCAAUGGGGUCAAAUGGAAAAAAGUAGCAAGUCGGAGAUGUUAUGGCUUUUGUACAUGCCAUGCAUGGCGACCUAUUUUCUUCAUAUGGAAGUUGGUGUUGUUUCCGUGAUCAAAGACUUGGUCUGUUUCAUAGGGUUUGUAUAGUGACUGAACACUUAGUCUCUUAUGAACUUAGCCCAUAUUUUUUAACAAGCUACCACUUGUAUAUUAACAUAUGUAUUUCCUUAGUGGUUGUAGCUAACUUGAGUGAAGUAAACUAAUGAAUCUUCUAUAUGUUGAAUACAAGUGCGCAAUUGUAUCUUAGUGGUUGUAUUCAUCAAUGGUGUCUUGUGAUGAAUACAAGAGCACAAUUGUUUGUAUAUGUAUUGUAUAGUGAACAUGAAUUGAAUAUUGUGGAUGUCAUUUCAUUCGAAA